UACGUAGGGCGCAAGCGUUGUCCGGAAUCAUUGGGCGUAAAGAGCUCGUAGGCGGCCUGUUGCGUCCGCUGUGAAAUCCCGGGGCUUAACCCCGGGCGUGCAGUGGAUACGGGCUGGCUGGAGGCAGGCAGGGGAGAACGGAAUUCCCGGUGUAGCGGUGAAAUGCGCAGAUAUCAGGAGGAACACCGGUGGCGAAGGCGGGUCUCUGGGCCGUAACUGACGCUGAGGAGCGAAAGCGUGGGGAGCGAACAGG
rnacentral:rRNA from 1 species